CCUGGAUCUCCGGCUCACUCGCCAUGUGGUACAGCGCCCAGGAGAUGGUGUUGGACGUCUGCAGAGGGUCAAAGGUCAGGGUUUAAAGCAGUUCGGUGAUGCUCCCCAGCACCUCGUGGACGGACAUCUGCUCGCUGACCAGCAGGUGUGUCAGUGAAUAGGUGGUCCCAGACGGCCACAAAGUGCUUCCAGAAGGGCAGGUAAGGCCAGAGAGAUUUGGGGAAGAGCACGAUGAUGGGGGAGAGGCGGAACAUCUCCCCCACGGAGAAGAUGAACCUCUCAGUCUCCUCAGGAACCUUUUCAUUCAGGCAGCCCAGACGCGUCUCAAACAGCACGGAGGAAAUGCCUACGGCAGGAGAGAGAGACCACAAUUCAUUACGGUUCCCCAGGCACUAGGAUUCAACCUUGAAAGGUGAACUUGGAAGUGUGAUCAACUCUUCCAGGACCUGUCUGUAUCAGCCUUCAAGGUGAACUUGGAAGUGUGAUCAACUCUUCCAGGACCUGUCUGUAUCAGCCUUCAAGGUGAACUUGGAAGUGUGAUCAACUCUUCCAGGACCUGUCUGUAUCAGCCUUCAAGGUGAACUUGGAAGUGUGAUCAACUCUUCCAGGACCUGUCUGUAUCAGCCUUCAAGGUGAACUUGGAAGUGUGAUCAACUCUUCCAGGACCUGUCUGUAUCAGCCUUCAAGGUGAACUUGAAAGUGUGAUCAACUCUUCCAGGACCUGUCUGUAUCAGCCUUCAAGGUGAACUUGGAAGUGUGAUCAACUCUUCAAGGACCUGUCUGUAUCAGCCUUCAAGGUGAACUUGGAAGUGUGAUCAACUCUUCCAGGACCUGUCUAUAUCAGCCUUCAAGGUGAACUUGGAAGUGUGAUCAACUCUUCAAGGACCUGUCUGUAUCAGCCUUCAAGGGCACAACAAAAUGAUGUAUGUGCAGAGCUGACCAACACACUGCUGCACCCAACCAAGUUCACAAGAAACACAAUUAUGUCGUAACUUCUGACAAAACCUGUGGCCUUGAGAUUAUUGACAGAGGAACUAUUUGGCAUGUAGACAUAAGAUGAGAUAAGACAUAUCCUAGACUGUAGUUGUACAUUGAUAUGAAUGAAGUUAGAGUGAGGGGAGACAGCGGUACACUGUGCACUGACACGAUGGCUAGACCGAAGGGUUAAGGUACACUGAAGUCAUGAUGUAGAACAAAAUUACGCCAAGGACUAAACUCUAAGGCAUAUGGAUAAGUAAGGCCUGGAUAGGUUUCAGUCCAUUUGUUUGAAACUAGUGUAGUAUGCAGCGCAGGCAUGAAUUUGUGGGGCAGACUUAGACUUUUUACAGUCACAAACCUGCACUGAAGUGCAUUGAAUGUCAUCAACACACUGGUUGAUAGUGGUUCACCGGUUACUGGUCAGCUCAAUUGUAAAGCCUGCCUGUCUAGUAUUGAAACACCCAUUGCCUUACCUUCAAAAGCAAACUUAUACAGCUCCCCUGCCAAAUCAUUGACCAUGACUCCGUCCCCUGUAGUCUUCCGGAGCCAGUCCACCUUCUGGACGAAGUCCCUGACCACCUCGUUGAUGGCAUUGGUGUACGAUGAAACAUGCUGGGGUUUUAGCAUCCUGGGGUUCAGAAUGCUUCUGAUUCUCUGCCAUUUCACCCCCAUUCUAGAACACAGGAGCACAAUGGAGUUAUUGUCUGGUGCUCUGUUGUCUAAGAGACAAGGGUUACUCAAGGAUAGCGGGCUUCUCAUGUUAGAGGACGAUGCCAUGUAUUAUGAACCCUUAAACUGUAACUGAACAGAUGUUUUCUGGAAAAACCUGAAAACCUGAACAAUGGUGGUUUGUUAGCUUGUUUUGAAUUGCUUCGAUGUCAGCUGCAAAUACGGCAUGUUUAGGUUUAAAGACACGGCUUUAGCAUGGAUACAAAGUCUUGCAAGCUGUGGCUGUAAAACAAACAUACUAACUCGGCUGGAACUCUCAGUUCAACCAGUUCAAUAAACACGUGGGUCAGUUUCAAAUUACACUUUCACAAUAAAACACAUUUAACCGGACAUCAA